AAGUCGUAACAAGGUUUCCGUAGGUGAACCUGCGGAAGGAUCAUUAUAAAAUUUUCAUAUAUUAUUUAUUUAAUAUAUAAAAUUAUAUACAAAAUGUAUUCAAAACCCACACACUUUAUAACCAAAAAAAAAAUAUAUAUUUUAAUAUAUAUAUAUAAAAAACAACUUUCAACAACGGAUCUCUUGGCUCUC
rnacentral:misc_RNA from 1 species